CCGAGUUGUAAUCUCUAGAAAUGUUUUCCGCGUUGGACCGCACACAAGUCUGUUGGAAUACAGCGGCAUAGUGGUGAGACCCCCGUAUAUGGUGCGGACGCCCAGCGCUUUGUGAUACAUUUUCGAAGAGUCGAGUUGUUUGGGAAUGCAGCUCAAAUUGGGUGGUAAAUUCCAUCUAAAGCUAAAUAUUGGCGAGAGACCGAUAGCGAACAAGUACCGUGAGGGAAAGAUGAAAAGCACUUUGGAAAGAGAGUUAACAGUACGUGAAAUUGUGGAAGGGAAACGCUUGAAGUCAGACUUGCUUGCCGAGCAAUCGGUUUGCAGGCCAGCAUCAGUUUUCCGGGAUGGAUAAUGGUAGAGAGAAGGUAGCAGUUUCGGCUGUGUUAUAGCUCUCUGCUGGAUACAUCUUGGGGGACUGAGGAACGCAGUGUGCCUUUGGCGGGGGUUUCGACCUCUUCACA
rnacentral:rRNA from 1 species